rnacentral:rRNA from 1 species
GAUGAACGCUAGCUACAGGCUUAACACAUGCAAGUCGCGGGGCAGCAUGGGGGUUGCUUGCAAUCCCCGAUGGCGACCGGCGCACGGGUGAGUAACGCGUAUCCAACCUGCCCUUCACCACGGGAUAACCCGGCGAAAGUCGGACUAAUACCGUAUGUUGUCCAUUGACGGCAUCCGAUUUGGACGAAAGGUUUGGCGGUGAAGGAUGGGGAUGCGUCCGAUUAGCUGGACGGCGGGGUGACGGCCCACCGUGGCGACGAUCGGUAGGGGUUCUGAGAGGAAGGCCCCCCACACUGGAACUGCGCCACGGUCCAGACUCCUACGGGAGGCAGCAGUGAGGAAUAUUGGUCACUGGGCGUAAGCCUGAACCAGCCAAGUAGCGUGCAGGAUGACGGCCCUAUGGGUUGUAAACUGCUUUUAUGCGGGGAUAAAGUGGCCCACGUGUGGGUUUUUGCAGGUACCGCAUGAAUAAGGACCGGCUAAUUCCGUG